AGGUACUAGGAAUUUGGAAGAAAGGAUACCCAGUAAUGUUCUACUGAAUCAGAAACACACCUUUCCCUGCAUCUUGAUACAUCUUUAUUCCCUUUAAUCUUUUCUUAAACAUCUAGUUUAGAAAAUAGCCCUUCUAUUGCUAUUUAAUCACCCCUCUUCUAAGGCCACUAGAUUGUUCAUCAAAUCAAACCCUAUUAUAUCUUUUUAGGCCCUCUUAACAGAAUGUAUAUGUGUAGGGUAUGGUCUGUGGAUCUUUGGGCCCACUGAUCAGAUUAGAGAGAGGGGUGCUAUUUGAAGUAGUAUACAAAAAUGUAUGUGCAUAUUUCUUUUUUUUUUUUUAAUUGAGACGGAGUCUCUGUCGCUAGCCUGGAGUACAGUGGCACGAUCUUGGCUCACAGCAAUCUCCGCCUCCUGAGUUCAAGUGAUUCUCCUGCCUCAGCCUCCUGAGUAGCUAGGAUUACAGGCACGCACCAACACACCCAGCUAAUUUUUGUAUUUUUAGUAGAGACGGGGUUUCACCAUGUUGGUCAGGCUGGUCUUGAACUCCUGACCUCGUGAUCCACCCACCUUGGCCUCCCAAAGUGCUGGGAUUACGGGCGUGAGCCACUGCGCCCGGCCGUAUGUGCAUAUUUCUAGGAUCCAUUUCUAUAUGUUUCUCAAAGGGGUCCAUGACCCAAAGGUUGAAAAACAUCACUGAGUUAGUUUUCUUGUAGCUUCCACCUCAACGGGAAAAUUUCCUCUGGAUCUGCUCUUGACUCCUAGUGUACUUCAAACCCUUCAGUCCACCACAGUCUAAAGGUCGAGGGAAGGGAAAUGAAAUAGGAUUAUGUGUGGUUGCAGUAGGCUUUAAAUUCCAAAGAAUCUGAAGGUGGAUAGGAAAGAGGACUGGUGCCAGACAAAUCUGACAUUCUAGGCCUGUCUCUGUCAACUUAACCAGCUGUGGCCUUGAUCAAGUUAGUUAGUGCCUUCCGCCUCGUUUCUUCAUCUGUAAAGUAAAAGCUGAAGAUUAAGGUCAAUUAUGUAGUCCCUAACUGACUUCUCUGUAUCUUCCUUUGGCUGAGACUUUUUUUUUUUUAGGUUGAAGCUCGCUUUCUCUCUCUCUCCCUCUUUCUCCCUCUCUCUCUCUCUCUCACUCUCUCUCUCUCCAUAUAUAUAUACAUAUAUAUAUAUAUAUAUAUUUUUUUUUUAACAACUGGUAGGAUAGGUUGGGCAUUAGCCUUCUUCAGUGAUUUGAUUGUAUACAGAUUGAAAUCCUUUCCAUUUCCAAACACUUAAGAGCCAAAGCCAACUUGCCAACUUUUCACUGUCGGUUCCCUUACCUUAUAUCUCUUGGUAAUACCCCCCACCCCCGUUCCCUGAUUCCUGGUAAAAGCUCUAGUUGGAGAGCCGAAAGGAAAGGAAAUGAUCUUUCAAAAUUAAAGGUGAACACCUUCACUUAAACUGAUUAAAAUUGCAGCUCCACCGUCCGGCCUCUAGAGGGCAGUGUAUGGAUACAUUUGUCCAGAUUGGGGGACUAGGUUUGAUAAAUUUUGUCCUGCAUCAAAUGACAAAAGGGUAAUAGGAAAUGUAUUAUAUUUAUGCCCCUUACUUUGAGAUAAGAGACUACAACCUUCAUACUUCGGGGUGUUAAGCUGCCAUUGCUCUUGUUAAGGGGCAGUUUGUUUUUUAAGAGAUGGGGUCUUGCUCUGUUGUCCAGGCUGGAGUGCAGUGCCGCGAUCUUGGCUCAGUGCAACCUCGAACUCCUGGGCUUAAGCGAUCCUCCCGCCUCAGCCUCCCGAGUACUGGGACUACAGGCGUGUGCCACCAAGGGGCGAUUAUUAUUUUUUUUUUCUACGCAAAAUAAAAGACGGCUA
rnacentral:lncRNA from 10 species